UACGGGGGGAGCAAGCGUUGUUCGGAUUUACUGGGCGUAAAGGGCGCGUAGGCGGCCUUCUAAGUCGAACGUGAAAUCCCCGGGCUCAACCCGGGAACUGCGUCCGAUACUGGAAGGCUUGAAUCCGGGAGAGGGAUGCGGAAUUCCAGGUGUAGCGGUGAAAUGCGUAGAUAUCGGGAGGAACACCGGUGGCGAAGGCGGCGACCUGGGUCGAGACUGACGCUGAGGCGCGAAAGCGUGGGGAGCAAACAGG
rnacentral:rRNA from 1 species